rnacentral:sRNA from 1 species
CACCUAACCCUUGUACUUUCUUAACAAAUACAAGGUAUGGUCAAAAACCGGUAAAGGAUAAAGAACCCAUCGUGGGACUACCUUUACCGGUCCUGUCAGGAAACUGGCAGUGGAUAGCUUAGCUAUC